rnacentral:misc_RNA from 1 species
AUGUGGCCAGAACUUAAAAUAGUUCAUGGUAAACCUCGUCACUCACAGAGCCAGGGUUCAGUUGAACGAGCUAACCAGGACAUUGAAAAUAUGCUUGCUACUUGGUUGACAGAUAACCGUACUAAAAAAUGGAGUGAGGGGUUAAAAUUUAUCCAGUUUAUGAAAAACUGUUCAUUACACUCAGGAAUAAAAUUUUCACCUUACGAAGUAAUGUUCGGUACAAAAGCAAAAAUUGGAUUAAAGAGUACACUUCUGCCAAUAAAUAUAAUAAGCGAUUUAAGAACCGAAGAAGACCUCGAAACAGCUCUGAAUUCUAUUUCCACUACUUCAAACAGUAACAACGAUAUCGAAAAUACCGAAGCUGUACCUUUAAGAAUAAAAUCUAUUUGUGAGAGUAGAAAUGAAUCACUUAAAAAUUUAAAAGUUUAAGCGACAAAAAUGAAGCAAGCUUCCGAAAAUCGUUUCCGUCCCGGCGAAGUUGGUCAGUCAGUAACGGUUAAGAUUCCAGACGUCGAUAGGGCCCGUAGUGAUUUUAGAAAUAUUAUUGGAGUUAUUCUUUCGAUUAACAAUGACAUGUACGAAAUAGGGACUAAGGAAGGUCGCCUUUCAACUUUGUAUAGUAGAAACCAAUUUGUAAUUUGCAAGGAAAGAUUUCUGAAAGUC